rnacentral:rRNA from 1 species
GGGUAACCGACGGUGGACGUAUCGGAAGUGCGAAUGCUGACAUGAGUAACGAUAAAGCGGGUGAGAGACCCGCUCGCCGAAAGUCCAAGGGUUCCUGCGCAACGCUAAUCGGCGCAGGGUGAGUCGGCCCCUAAGGCGAGGCAGAGAUGCGUAGCUGAUGGGAAGCAGGUUAAUAUUCCUGCACCGUCGUAUGAUGCGAUGGGGGGACGGAUCGCGGAAGGUUGUCUGACUGUUGGAAUAGUCAGUUUCUGGUUCAUAGAAGGCGCUUAGGCAAAUCCGGGCGCGUAAUUCAAGGGACUGGGACGAGGCACUUAGGUGCUGAAGCAAUCGGAAGUGGUUCCAAGAAAAGCCUCUAAGCUUCAGUCAUACGAGACCGUACCGCAAACCGACACAGGUGGGCGAGAUGAGUAUUCUAAGGCGCUUGAGAGAACUCGGGAGAAGGAACUCGGCAAAUUGGUACCGUAACUUCGGGAAAAGGUACGCCCUGGUAGCUUGACCACUUUACUGUGGAAGGGUGAAAGGGUUGCAAUAAACUGGUGGCUGCGACUGUUUAAUAAAAACACAGCACUCUGCAAACACGAAAGUGGA